rnacentral:rRNA from 1 species
AUGACACAAAUAUACGAAACCAGGAGAAAAUGGGCAAAGCCAUAUUUCAGGGGUGUGUUUUGUGCAAAAAUGACGAGCACCCAGCGCAGUGAGAGUGCAAACCUUAUGCUGAAGUCAUACAUGCCCUCUGCAAGCCCAAUGCAUGUCUUUGUCAGGCAGUACAUGAGGCUUCAAUUUGGCCGCGAGUGCGAUGAGAGCUACAAGGAGAAGAGGACCAUGAUUCUGUCCGCGGGCCUCUCGGAUUUGGGACCAAAUCGGCCUAACUGCUACGCCGACGAUUCAAGAGCUUUGGCUCCUCCAUAUGCCGCCGCAGCUGGACUCUAG